UGCUAAAUUUAACAGAAAUGCGGCAAAAAUACUCAAAGUAUUACAUAUAAUACAGCCUUACAAAACACAGCACUCGAAUGUGCUGUAUUCUGCUAGGAAUAAAGGAAGAGAACAUUGAGGGUACAAACUAUGCAUGCAUGUUUACAGGAGAUUUUAGCAUCGCCUGACAACCUUCAGC
rnacentral:lncRNA from 1 species